UACGGGGGGAGCAAGCGUUGUUCGGAUUUACUGGGCGUAAAGAGCUCGUAGGCGGUUUGUCGCGUCUGCUGUGAAAACUCGGGGCUUAACCCCGGGCCUGCAGUGGGUACGGGCAGACUAGAGUGCGGAAGAGGCGAGUGGAAUUCCUGGUGUAGCGGUGAAAUGCGCAGAUAUCAGGAAGAACACCCGUGGCGAAGGCGGCUCUCUGGGCCUUACCUGACGCUGAGGCGCGAAAGCUAGGGGAGCGAACAGG
rnacentral:rRNA from 1 species